UUCCGGUUGAUCCUGCCGGACCUGACUGCUAUCGGAACAGGACUAAGCCAUGCGAGUCUGCCAAUCAGAGCACGUUGGUUGGCGGCGAACGGCUCAGUAACACGUAGUCAACCUGCCCUUGGGUCGAGAACAAUCUCGGGAAACUGAGGCUAAUUCUUGAUAAGCCAAGAUUCCUGGAAUGGGUUUUGGUCAAAACGGGGCAGCAGCAUCUUGCUGUUUUCGCCCAAGGAUGGGACUGCGGCCGAUCAGGCUGUUGGUGAGGUAAAGGCUCACCAAACCAGUAACCGGUACGGGCUUUGAGAGAAGGAGCCCGGAGAUGGACACUGAGACAAGGGUCCAGGUCCUACGGGGCGCAGCAGGCGCGAAACCUUCGCAAUGCGCGCAAGCGCGACGAGGUUAUUCCGAGUGAUCUCCGCUGAGGAGAUCUUUUCUCAGAUCUAAAAAGUCUGGGGAAUAAGGGGAGGGCAAGUCUGGUGUCAGCCGCCGCGGUAAUACCAGCUCCUCGAGUGGUCAGGGCGUUUAUUGGGCCUAAAGCAUCCGUAGCCGGCUCAUUAGGUCUCCUGUUAAAUCCAACGGCCCAACCGUUGGUCUGCAGGAGAUACCGAUGGGCUAGGAGGCGGGAGAGGCGGACGGUACUCCGAGGGUAGGGGUAAAAUCCUUUGAUCCCCGGAAGACCACCAGUGGCGAAGGCGGUCCGCCAGAACGCGCUCGACGGUGAGGGAUGAAAGCUGGGGGAGCGAACCGGAUUAGAUACCCGGGUAGUCCCAGCUGUAAACGAUGCGAGCUAGGUGACACAAGGCCUUCGGGGCCUUGUGGUGCCGCAGGAAGCCGUUAAGCUCGCCGCCUGGGGAGUACGGACGCAAGUCUGAACUUAAAGGGAUUGGCGGGGGAGCACCACAAGGGUGAAGCCUGCGGUUCAUGAGUCACGCCGGGAAGACU
rnacentral:rRNA from 1 species